rnacentral:rRNA from 1 species
AUACGUAGGGUGCGAGCGUUAAUCGGAAUUACUGGGCGUAAAGCGUGCGCAGGCGGUUUUUUAAGAUAGGCGUGAAAUCCCCGGGCUUAACCUGGGAACUGCGCUUAUGACUGGAAGACUAGAGUACGGCAGAGGGGGGUGGAAUUCCACGUGUAGCAGUGAAAUGCGGAGAGAUGUGGGGGAACACCAAUGGCGAAGGCAACCCCCUGGGCCGAUGCUGACGCUCAUGCACGAAAGCGUGGGGAGCAAACAGGAUUAGAUACCCUGGUAGGCCACGCACUAAACGAUGUCAACUAGGUGUUGGGUGGGUAAAACCAUUUAGUACCGUAGCUAACGCGUGAAGUUGACCGCCUGGGGAGUACGGCCGCAAGGUUAA